rnacentral:rRNA from 1 species
UGGGUAACCUGCCUUAUAGUGGGGGAUAGCCUUUCGAAAGGAAGAUUAAUACCGCAUAAGAUUGUAGUAUCGCAUGAUAUAGCAAUUAAAGGAGCAAUUCGCUAUAAGAUGGACCCGCGUCGCAUUAGCUAGUUGGUGAGGUAAUGGCUCACCAAGGCGACGAUGCGUAGCCGACCUGAGAGGGUGAACGGCCACAUUGGGACUGAGACACGGCCCAGACUCCUACGGGAGGCAGCAUG